UCCUGAAGCAGUAAAUGCACCGCGGGGGGAGCGCAACACCUUGAGCUUCACCUGUGGAGUUUGUUUGGCGCAGAAACACGGAAUAUGACUUCGGAAGGAAUACAGGAAACUGGGAUUUGAAGAAUUUUGUUUUUAUUUAUUAAAAAAAAUAUAACUAAUUUCAAAAUGGACACUAGCUGGAGAGGUUUGGGACAACCGACGACAAGACGUUUCCAGGAGUUUUGAAGUCCAGGUCACAAGAACAAGAUGUACCGAGAGAGCUUCCUGUGACUGAACCUGAAGAGACUGGCUGUCCAGGACACACAGCCUCCACCAAGGAGUUGAUGCGGAGACCUGUGACAGCCGGAGCCGGCGACAUAACCUUCGAACACAAGUGUUUUCACCAAACACACUUCAGGGAAAUUACAGUGCUGUGCAGAAAGGUGGUAGCUUAUUUCUUUAUGUUUUGUUUCUAAGGAGCAAGGCUUUUUUGGGGGUGUUUUAAGUUGGCUUCUUACUUUACUUUGGUUGUUUUUCACUAAUCUGCAGCCCAAUACCUGACAAUUUUCAGUAGAAUCCCUUGUAGUUUAAGCCACACAUCUCAUUGGCUUGUGAAAACAUGCAUAUUUUAUCAACCUCUAAAUCUAAACCAUUUUAAAAAAUGCACAAAGUUGUGUUCAUCUCUUGGAAGCGCAGUAUAAACCAACUAUUGUCUGGUUUACAGCUGCAUAUUCUUCUAAUGAUAUGCAAAUAUCUACAUUUGUGACACAAAGGGAUGAAAGAUUUAUCAGUUACUGGGUUAAUAAUGAUGUACUUCUGACCUUUUAAAAGAAGCACAGUUUGCUUGAGGUUAAUUUAGGAUCAAAUCAGUAAAACGCCUAAUUAAUAAACUUGGUAAUUUGCAUUUUAAUUGAAAAGUUGUAUCUCAUAUCAACAUGUCACCAACAUGUCAUAUGCGCGGUCGCUUAUUGCAUCAAUAUGACUGAUAGAUUUAUGCAACAAGUGGCAUUUAUUGUCAAUCUGAUCUGCUUUAUUAACACAUGCAGCUGAUUUAUCCAUCAAAGUGACCAAUAUCUAAAAUAUGGGCUUAUGAGUUAACUUUUUAAGCCUUUGAAUAUACUUUGCAUUCUUCUCAUUGUUUUAUUUUCUCACUUAGUCUCUUUUUAUUGAUUUUUUUGUUUGUUUUUCCUCCCAAAUAUCCAUUGAACUUGGUCAAAUAUGAUGAACAUCACACACAUUUAUCUCAAAUCUUGUAUAUUUCAUGGCCACUCUUUGUGGUCCGCAUCGAAAGCUCCACUCUUACUGAAGUGAGAUUAAUGAGAUUUAAUCUUUUACCUCAUUGCCAAUGCUUUAUCUCAUGAGGUCAUUCAUUGGCGCGUCAGCCCUCCUCCACCUCCCUACCCUCACCGUACCUAUGUUGCAAAAUUAAACUUGAAUUAGAUCAUUAGCAUACAAAGCAGGAAACCUACUGCUGUGGAGUCAUACAUAUUUAUCUGGACGUGCCUGACUUGUGCAUGCACGCCAUCAUACUGUAACCCCUUUUGCAUGCAAACACCCCUGUUUCUCUUGUGCAGGAGACAAGCGAGCGCAGACUAUGAAAUGGAUAUUAAUUAGAGUAGGUUGGUUUUCAGAAGCAUAAAUUUAACUGCAAACCAUCUGAUUAAAUUCAAGGGUUUCAUCCAAACAAGCUUUUCGAAACAUGGCAGGUUGACUGGAAACUGUGUGCAUUUGGAACCAGAGCAGAUGGAUUUUGAUUAGGAUCGUUGCUUUCAACGCAUCAAAUAUUGCUCGCACACAGAGGAAAUGCGAAAUGCCUGCAGUCCAAACUCAUCUGCUGCACAUUAACAAACAGAAAAAGACAAACGGGGAACACGGCCUUCUGAAUAAUCAUGCGUUGCCUCAUGAAUGACUCCUUUUCUCUCUCCUUUCCCCUCUGUCCUUUCCACUAGAAAUUAACUUUCUCCUUAACCACUCUCCCUGCUUCCUGGGGAUCACUUUCCAGCCUUCUUCUUCCUUCCAGCUGGGAGAACAACUCCCUCCUUUUGCAGCUAUGUGGACUCCUCCAUUAGUAUUCCUUCCUCCUUCCCGCUUUUCCCUCCCUCCUGUGAGAUUGCUGUUGUGUCUUAUGGCUUUUUAUUCCUACGUGAUGGUAGAUGGGUUCAUGUAGGAGUAGAAGCCACUAAACACACGGUGAGUGCUCGACAUGCUGGCCAACACAUGCAGAGAGCUUCCUGUGGAUAUGACAGCUGCCAUGUUCACAUCAAUGUCCUGCCCAUUAUCCCAAAUGCACACGAGGUUUAAAUAUAGUUCAGGGACCUCACUGAAGAGUGGGGCUGUUUUAGACUGGAGUCACAAUUUGGUCCAAAUUGGAGCGACAACUAUAGAUUUUUAUUAUUUUCGGAAAAAUCCACAGCAACUUUCAGCUGAAAAAUCAAUCCUCAGUGCAGAGUUGUCUUAACCGACCUACUUUCCCCAGCUGCAUGCUGGCUGCUUGUGUCUCCAAUUCGAUAUUAAUUUCUUCACUUCCCUGCCCUGCAGUCCUUGAUCAGAACUGCAGCUUGAAAGAUCUCAAAACCACUUUCGAAAUAAAAUGACUCUCUCAGGUAGGUCACUCAAUAAUGUCUGAAUAUAUUUGCCGUUUCCCUGUUAAGUUGUGUAGAAAAGGUUCAUAUCCCUUUUUAACAGCACUAGAAAGUUUUCACACUGUAGCGCGACAUAUUACAGUCCAUACUUUAAGUUCUGGAAAGUAGUCGUUCUAUCAGACACUUUUCCAUUAUUUACCGGGUAUUUAUUGGUUUCUAUGGUCCUUCUGAGUAGUAACUUAUCAACUACUUUUCUUGAACUUAGAAGUUACUUUGCUGAAUUUACCGGGUAUAGACAUAUAACUUUGAUUGAACCUAAUAAUAGUUUCAAAAAUGUUGUCCAAAGAUACUUGGUAAGUUCCAGAAAGUUAUGUCUAAGUUCUGGGAAGGUAACAGAUAACUUUUAUUGACGUUGCAGGAACGUACCAUGAAGUUUGUGGAAAGUAACAAGUUCUGCAAAAGUACAUCCUGUUGUAUAGAGCCACCAAAUUGUGAAAGUAUUAUUUCAAACUUUUUUGCUCAUCUCUAAAGUACGCAUUUCAUACCUCUGUAGUUUUAAAGCCUUUCAAGAGAACGUUGUAAUAUUUUUUCAUUGCGUCACUUUCGCAUCGUUGACUGUGGACUCUUAAUAUAAAAGUAUUUUUGAUUUGUCUAUAAUGCUAUUUAUAUGUUCUACAAAGUUUGAUUAGUUUUAAAUCACUCAGAUGAUCUAAAAUUGUGUGACUAGUCAUUGAACGUUAUCUUCCUUUCUCUCUAAAAACCUGAGCUCUUAUAUCUCUGAUUGCAACGUUACUGAAUUCACCUUUUGACCGAAUCUUUUCUGUCUCAAACCUGAGCGAUUGAAAGCUUGCAAAAUCACCAUUUAAACUGUAGCGUAGAAAAGUGGUUUCAUUGACCCUGCCUCCAACAUGUAAGGCCAUAUUAAAGUGUUGUGGUUAAAAUACAUUCGCUUCUGAGUGGACAAGACAACAGAAAAAUUGCAUUGUAUUUAUUCACAAACCAAAAAUGGGGACUGCAAAAGCUCUUGUGACUGAAAUGCCUGUGCCUUUGAUGACAACACAGAUGCAACAAACGAUCUUUUUUAAAAUGCACUGGCUGACUCAUUGUGAAUCGCCUUGGUGCAGAAGUUGAACAGGGAGUUCCUUGAAAAGACUCGAGUCUGAGGAGACCAGCAGGAGACCGGCUCAGUCUGUUUUCUUAGAUCUGAAGGGGUCGCAGUCUAAAGUGCCAGAUUUUAUUGUAAUUCACAGUUAAUUUCUAAGCGUUUUAGAUAUUUCACUCAAAAUAGUAGGAGUUGGUAACCUUGAAGCACCAGAUUUUGAAUGUUUUUCCAACCAGCUUUCCUGAUAAGUUUCUCAAUCCCUUCAAAACUUCAAGGCAGGAAACUUUAAAUCAACUCGGAGCAACCCCCUUCAUUUCCCUCCUAAAUUAUGUACAAAUUCUGGCACCCUAAUAAUGGCGCGGCAGUAACUUUCGCCUGGGCUGAACUUGGUGUCAACUAAUUAAGCAAGAAACUCAAAUUAUCCUGCUGGUGGGUUCAUUCGUGUGCUGCAGGGUUUGGGUUUAAAUGUCAAUUCCCUGUUUGUGUUUGCGGCGAAAUACGCUGCCAGCCUGCGCUCCUUACACGCAAGUUGAAUAAAGUCUAAACAGGCAGAAGCCAAGAGCUGAAUUAUUAAUCCCUAGAUAUUACAAGAAGCUGACACAUGUUUGCAGUUGUGGGACAUUACUCCUUCGCUCAUUUGAGAUGCAUAAUAAUUUGAGAUGAAAACGAGAUAAGUUCUGCCAAAGUUUAAUGAUUUCUUUUUAAGCUAUAAGAUGUUGUGAUCUAAAAUUCAGAGGGGAGGCUUGACAAGUUUCUGUUGCCUGCAUUAUCUGUUUAAUUUAUUUCUCAGGUUCCCACUCCCACAUAGGGUUUUUCUACCCCCCCCCCCCCCCCCCCCCGCUUUAUUGAGUCGUGAGGUGGUCUGAGAGAAUAUUUGAACAGAAGGAAGACAUUAAAGAAGGCAGAGGAAGGCUUCGAUUUUUAACCCUGUGGGGGUCCAUGGGAAUCUAAAGGUGGGAAUCAACAGUGAUGAAGUCUACGGGAAAGAGCCUGCAUUAUUUACAGCAGCACAGGCUCAUAAAGGGGGAAGCAGUGUUUGAAUAGAUCGCUCCUGUCUUUUCGUCUUGCCCAAGGGUUCGCUUCACAGUUAUGAUCCAACCAGACUGCAAACCUCACAUCCAAAUGUCAAAAUGAUAAGACAGGCAGCACUUGGGCUCAUUUUAAUAUUGACAGCUGUUCAUUUUUUCCAAAUUACGGCUUCCGUGACUCUACGACUCAUGAUCUGAUUCUGCAAGGUCGCCGAUUCCUCAAGUUCCGGUGGAAAUCAUCAACUCUGGUGUAAUGGGAUUUUCCUCUGACAGAUGCAAUAAUGCGGUGUGUUUGUGUACAGUAGGUUUAAUGUACGAGUGUUGUUCUAUUUUAUCUCCACCCUGCUUCAGGCUCUGCUUUGAUUUUUCUGUAAUAAAUAAUGCUCUUUUGUCUUCUGUGCUGCAUUUGUUCCCUGUUGUAAUCUCUCUACUGCUCAAUAAAUUAUGAAUAAUGCCAGUUCAA